GGACGUAGGCAACCUGCCUUGUAGCGGGGGAUAACUAUUGGAAACGAUAGCUAAUACCGCAUAACAAUGGAUGACACAUGUCAUUUAUUUGAAAGGGGCAAUUGCUCCACUACAAGAUGGACCUGCGUUGUAUUAGCUAGUAGGUGAGGUAACGGCUCACCUAGGCGACGAUACAUAGCCGACCUGAGAGGGUGAUCGGCCACACUGGGACUGAGACACGGCCCAG
rnacentral:rRNA from 1 species